AAAGUCGUACAUGGUUUCCGUAGGUGAACCUGCGGAAGGAUCAUUA
rnacentral:rRNA from 1 species